rnacentral:rRNA from 1 species
AUUGAACGCUGGCGGCAUGCCUAACACAUGCAAGUCGAGCGGAUAAAGGGAGCUUGCUCCUGGAUUCCGCGGCGGACGGGUGAGUAAUUCCUAGGAAUCUGCCUUGUAUUGGGGGAUAACGUCCGGAAACGGGCGCUAAUACCGCAUACGUCCUGAUGGUGAAAGUCGGGGAUCUUCGGACCUCACGCGAUCAGAUGAGCCUAGGUCGGAUUAGCUAGUUGGUGGGGUAAAGGCCUACCAAGGCGACGAUCCGUAACUAGUCUGAGAGGAUGAUCAGUCACACUGGAACUGAGACACGGUCCAGACUCCUACGGGAGGCAGCAGUGGGGAAUAUUGGACAAUGGGCGAAAGCCUGAUCCAGCCAUGCCGCGUGUGUGAAGAAGGUCUUCGGAUUGUAAAGCACUUUAAGUUGGGAGGAAGGGCAGUAAGUUAAUACCUUGCUGUUUUGACGUUACCAACAGAAUAAGCACCGGCUAACUUCGUG